GAUGAACGCUGGCGGCGUGCCUAAUACAUGCAAGUCGAGCGGUAAGGCCCUUCGGGGUACACGAGCGGCGGACGGCAGAGUAACACGUAGGAACGUACCCCAAAGUGAGGGAUAGCCCACCGAAAGGUGGAUUAAUACCGCAUGUGGUCUUCGGAUUAAAGCAGCAAUGCGCUUUGGGAACGGCCUGCGUAAGAUUAGCUAGUUGGUGAGGUAACGGCUCACCAAGGCGACGAUCUUUAGCUGGUCUGAGAGGAUGAUCAGCCUGACUGGGACUGAGACACGGCCCAGACUCCUACGGGAGGCAGCAGUAGGGAAUUUUCCACAAUGGGCGAAAGCCUGAUGGAGCAACGCCGCGUGCAGGAUGAAGGCCUUCGGGUUGUAAACUGCUUUUGUCUGAGAAGAAUAUGACGGUAACAGACGAGUAAGGGUCUGCUAACUACGUGCCAGCCGCCGCAGUAA
rnacentral:rRNA from 1 species